GACGAACCGUGCGAACGUUAUUCGGAAUCACUGGGCUUAAAGCGCGUGUAGGCGGGACGGCACGUCGGUCGCUGAAAUCCCCCGGCUCAACCGGGGAACGGGCGCCGAUACGACCGCCCUGGAGGGGCGUAGGGGGACCUGGAACUUCCGGUGGAGCGGUGAAAUGCGUUGAGAUCGGAAGGAACGCCCGUGGCGAAAGCGAGGUCCUGGACGCCUACUGACGCUGAAACGCGAAAGCCAGGGGAGCGAACGGG
rnacentral:rRNA from 1 species